rnacentral:tRNA from 1 species
GCGCAGUUGGUAGCGCAUCACCUUGCCAAGGUGAGGGUCGCGAGUUCGAGUCUCGUCA